rnacentral:rRNA from 1 species
GAUGAACGCUGGCGGCGUGCCUAAUACAUGCAAGUCGAGCGAACGGACGAGAAGCUUGCUUCUCUGAUGUUAGCGGCGGACGGGUGAGUAACACGUGGAUAACCUACCUAUAAGACUGGGAUAACUUCGGGAAACCGGAGCUAAUACCGGAUAAUAUUUUGAACCGCAUGGUUCAAAAGUGAAAGACGGUCUUGCUGUCACUUAUAGAUGGAUCCGCGCUGCAUUAGCUAGUUGGUAAGGUAACGGCUUACCAAGGCAACGAUGCAUAGCCGACCUGAGAGGGUGAUCGGCCACACUGGAACUGAGACACGGACCAGACGCCUACGGGAGGCAGCAGUAGGGAAUCUUCCGCAAUGGGCGAAAGCCUGACGGAGCAACGCCGCGUGAGUGAUGAAGGUCUUCGGAUCGUAAAACUCUGUUAUUAGGGAAGAACAUAUGUGUAAGUAACUGUGCACAUCUUGACGGUACCUAAUCAGAAAGCCACGGCUAACUACGUG